rnacentral:tRNA from 1 species
GCCUUCAUGGUGUAAUGGUCAGCACACUCGGCGCGUAUUCGAGAGGUCCGAGGUUCGAGUCCCGGCGAGGGCA